rnacentral:lncRNA from 1 species
UCCUUUGCCCAGCACACCUGUCACUCACCUCAACCCUUUCUCUCUUUUCCCCAUCUUUCUGUGGCUAGCUCCUCCUCAUUCUUUAGGUCUCAGUGUAGAUAGCACCACUAUCAGGAAGGAGUCCAGACACUGCCAGGCCUAAGAAAUGUAAAUUAAAUGCUCUCAAGGGAUGAGAGACACUGGAAGCUGGGACGCUCUUGGAACUCUGUUGCCAUCAUCAAGGCUUCCAGAUACAGCCCUCUAGGUCAUCCAGAGGUGCCAGCCAGCCCUCACCAGUGGUCAGCUUUUCCUCAGUGGAGUGGUAGGUGAGCCAGUGGAGCUUGCUCUGAAGAUACUAGAGGGAGCCAAAGCUGUCUGGCCCUUCAGUGUGACUCAGUUUCCAGACUCUUUCUCUUUAGACAUAAAUGAAGAACAAGUCAACCUUGAUGCCUUUGAGGGUUGGUUCAGCGGAUGAUGUGUUGUGGGGUUUUCCCACAGGUCAGCAGUCCAACUACCAGGGCCAGAGCCCCAUCAAAGAAUCUUCAGUGCCAGCCAGAAAGAAUGAUGAACUCCUCGUGUAAAGGGAGUUUGGGGCAACCAGUCAAACCAUGGCCUCAUGGGAAGCAGCUGACUAGGCAAUGAGAGAGGAAUACAAAAGACAAGGCACUGCGAAGCCAAGUCUGGUUGGGGAGAAGAAACCAAUAUGCCUGAAACAGGGAACCAGAAAGGACUCAGACAAAACUGCUGACAAGUAUGGGGUUUCUUGGGGUAGGUGGUGAAAAUAUUCCAAAAUAAGAUUAUAGCGAUGUUUUAAUAAUCCCCUGGAUAUAAUAAAAAAACAUCGAAUUGUACACU